AGCAGCCGCGGUAAUUCCAGCUCCAAUAGCGUAUAUUAAAGUUGUUGCAGUUAAAAAGCUCGUAGUUGAAUUUCGGGGUCAGUAGGUUGGUCGUGCCACCGGUACGUACUGGUCUCACUGAUUCCUCCUUCCUGAUGAGCUGUAAUGCCAUUAAUUUGGUGUUGCAGGGAAUCUGGACUGUUACUUUGAAAAAAUUAGAGUGUUUAAAGCAGGCUAACGCUUGAAUACAUUAGCAUGGAAUAAUGGAAUAGGACGUUCGAUCCUAUUUUGUUGGUUUCUAGGAUUGACGUAAUGAUUAAUAGGGAUAGUUGGGGGCAUUAGUAUUCAAUUGUCAGAGGUGAAAUUCUUGGAUUUAUUGAAGACUAACUACUGCGAAAGCAUUUGCCAAGGAUGUUUUCAUUAAUCAAGAACGAAAGUUAGGGGAUCGAAGACGAUCAGAUACCGUCGUAGUCUUAACCAUAAACUAUGCCGACUAGGGAUCGGAUGAUGUUAAUUUUUUAAUGUACUCA
rnacentral:rRNA from 1 species